rnacentral:lncRNA from 1 species
UUUUUUUUUUUUUUUUGGUACAGCAUGGUCUGUAAAUACAAGCCAACUUCAUCAUCUGGUGUUCAACUAAAGAAACACCCAAUACUGAAGGAAAAUUGGCUGCAUCGGACCUUUUGGGAAGCUGUAUAUUCACUUUCAAUGUGGCACUUUUCUAAGGCAUUUUUUAAAGUUUCAUUUAAAAAAAUUAUUCUUAUGAAAUAUUUCAGGAAUAGCAAAAGUAUACCAUUUUUUCUCCUUUGUUCUUCAUUUAAUUUGCACAGACUGAACAUAAAUACAAUAUAAUUCCAUGUUAUAAGUAUUUAUUGAGUACCUAUUAAAUGCAUAUUAUUUCCUAUCUCCCAAUUAGCUUGCAAGGUGAAUGUUAUUCUCUCCAUUUUACAGAUGAGGAAACUAAGGCUCAAAGAAAUUAAAAUGUACCCAGCUUAAAAAUGAUAGAGCUGAAUUUGGACCCAAGUUUGCUUAAAUUUAAAGCCUGGACUCUUUUCUUAAUAUCAAGAUGCUAAUAAGUAAAACAGGAAUCUUUAUAAAACAAAAAGAUGGCAUUUAAGUGAAAUCUUGAUUAUGAAUGAGAAAAAGCAAUCUCAUUUGGGGGGAAAAUGUGCUAAACUAAAGAUCCUAACUUUUGGAAUAAACUGGGAAACUGGAUUUUUAAAAAUGUGUAUCAGAUCAACUUUAUUGCAACAAUAAUUUAGGAAAAAUAAUCAGAGUUACACAGUACUUGAAAGAUGGUAAGCAGAGAGAGCUAUCUCAGUCCCUCCUUCCAUACAAUUGACUCAGCACAGUGCUUGGCAAAUGUUUGUUGAAUGAAUGCAUCAGGAUCUAGUUCAACAGCAAUCACUUUCUUGGAGAGAAAUAGCCCAAGGUAUAGACGAUGAGGACAGGCAGUGCUUCCUAAUGCAUCCUUAGGGAGACUGUUAUACAGGAGCAGUCAUCCACUUAUUAAUCCAUUUAGAAAUCAUUUCUCUCCUUGGCCUUUUGUUGGGUUAGCUCUGCCCAUGUGAUACACGUACCAGGAAGCCUAGCUAUGGACACUAGUUCUCUAGCUUCAGUGGGCAGUCAGCCCUGCUGCUCACCUCUUCUGACUUGCUCUCAUCCCCUUCUCCCUCCUCCACCUCUGAUGCCUAACUCCGCUUCAUGUUGCGUCACAGAGCAGUGCACCAUGGUGCCCCCUUACUUGUCUGACUCACUAGGACAUGCUUCUUAGGCUUUCACUCUCAGCGUUUUCUCUGGGACAUGAUUGGGUCACUUCUAACAUCUCCACUCACCCCUAGCUACAGGUUUUGCUUGGUCCACACAAGAUCCAUGUUGGCCACCUCAGCUCUACCUGGCCUUUCCAUCUGGGAUAGAAAGGUACAUAUUCUGCUCACUAUGCUAGGAUCUGUAUGGGAAUAUUUUAUGCAGCUGUGCUGCAAGGCAGCUCUCCUCACUCACCAGCUUCCAUGACAGCUUUAGAAAUAACGAAACCCCAACAUCUGUAUGUUCAUACAAAUAAACCCACUCCACCACCGGGUGGAUUUCUCCCCAAAAUUAUGAUGUCAAAGUUGUAUAAGAACAGGCCAAUCCUUUGGAAGAACCUCUCUAUGUAGAAAGAAGGAAUUUCAAGAACUGUUUAUCUCAGAAACAUCCUUUGUGCUGUACUAGUUUUCUUGGACUACCAUAACAAAAUACCACACUGGGUGGCAAGAACAGCAAAAAUUUGUUUUCUCACAGUUUUGGAGGGUAGAAGUCCAAGAUGAAGGUGUCAGCAGGGCUGGAUUCCUCUGAGGACUCUCUCCUUGGCUUGCAGGUGGCUGCCCUCUUACUGCCUCUUCACAUGGUCUUUUCCUCUGUAUCUGCAUCUUUCAUGUCUCUUUGCGUGCCUGAAUUUCCUCUUCUGAUAGACAUCAGUCAGAUUGGAUUAGGACCCAUCUCAAUUUUAACCUCAUUUAACGUAAUCACGUAUUUAAACACCCUGCCUCCAAAUAAAUAAAGUGACAUUCUGAGGUACCAGGGGUUUGGACUUCAACAUACGAAUAUGGGGGGACAGAAUUCCAGCCAUAACAUGUGCCCCCUCAGAUUCCUUCCACUCAAACUGCCUCCCAGACUCACAGCCUCCACCAUGGAUGAUAGCUCUGUCCAGGCAGCUGUGUCCUAGAGUCUGGCUUCUCCUGCCUCUUCUGUACUCACACAGCGCGCCAGCCUGCCAAGCGUAGUACCAGGCUUCCUGAGUGACUGUCUGAAGGGGUUGGAUGCUAUGACAGAAAUGUGAAGACAUUAACACUCUCCGAGGCAAACUUUGAUGAUGGGGAAAUGGGAGACCGAAGGGUGCAGGUGGUUAAAUUCCUUGGAUUGAUGACUCUGAGGCACUUUGUCUCCACACAGUCUGUCCUGAGAUAGUGUAGGGGAGCAGAUGUACCUGCUGAGAGAUCAGAUGUCACCUGUGGCUUUGUGGUGAAGCAAUGACCAGCGUGGGUAAGCAUCACCUUGCAUGGUUUCCCAUCUUCCCUUGUUUAACUUCCCUUUUCCCUUGCGCUUGCUGCCGUGACUUUGUACCUCCCAAGUGAUCCCAGAAACAACAUCAUCACCCAGUCCUUGCUUCACGCUC